rfam:Medicago truncatula strain A17 chromosome 5, whole genome shotgun sequence.
UUGUCUCUUAGAGUUCCUUUGAACGCUUCAUGCAUGAGAAUAUCUAUUUGGUCUAAUAUCCAUUAGAAAAGAUAGUCUUUUCUUCUAUGAAGUGUUUGGGGGAACUCUUGGGUUCAA